UAUGUAGAGUGAGUAGAAAAUUUCUUAAUAAAGAAAAAAAAGAAAACAGCUCCAACAUUCUUCUCUCACACACACAAACCAUACACACAAAGACAUAAUGGUAUGUAGAGUGAGCAGAAAAUCUCUUAAUAAAAAUAAAAAAAUCAGCCUGGAAAGAUAUGUCCACUGGUGCAAUAGCAGGAGUGUAAUUGACCACUUUCUGAUUGGAUUUGAAGCCUACGUAAUAACACAGAACUCACACCUAGUGCCAUUAACAGGCCAAGAAUCUGUGGCUGGCUAUGUUAUAGACCUUAGAUGAGAACCUAAUAUUAAAUGAACAAAGUAAUAAACUAUCCCUAAGCUCUUACUGUUAUACCCAUAGAUUAGUAAAUCUCUCAACUCCUCAUCAGAGAAACUGCUUUUUGCAGUUGAUGGUGAUUAAACACAAAUCAGAGACUGUGGAUUGAUCAGUCCUAAGUGGAACAUCUGUAUCAUACCCCUGCCCUCAGGCUCAGGGAUCAUCCCAGAAAAGGAGGUGGGAACACUGGAAGAGUCAGAGGUACUGGACCUAUCUAGUGAAAGUGUGUGGAUAUGGCAUUGUGCUUUCACACAUGAGCUCAUAGAGGCUGUUACUGUAGCAUCAGACCCGCAUAAGAUUAAGCCAGUGAAAAUCCUAGCAUGGUUGGGCAGAGGUAGUCAUGAAUUCCCACCCUUAGCUGAAGAACUAUUCACAACUGAUGGAUUAUGGGUGGAGAGGGGAAUCAAUUUUUUUGCCAAGGAUUUGGUGUAUCUCUGCUUCUAGGAUUUUUUUUUAUCUCAAGAGAAGGAACUUAGCAUGGUUAGAACUUUAUCAUUUGCUUAUUUUGUUUUUAUUCAUAAAGGAAAACUGGGGGUACUUAAUGCUAUGACAUUGGUACUUAACUCAAGGUCACAUUAAAGUAUUUUCUCCUUAAGUAUGGUAUCUUCACUAGGGCAAUUAAUGAAGAAAGAGAAAAAUUGUCCAUGCCUGAACAUAAACUCUGAUUUGCAAACUUUGAACAGACCUAGUAAUAUUAAUCAGCAAUUACAAAUAAUUGCUGACAUAUGCUCUUUCUCCUUAAGCUUUCACAACAACACAACAUAGAAUUAAAAAUACUUAUAUAAAUAAGAGUAAGCAACAUUUUUAUUAUAUGUCUAGUACUAAUUAUAGUGUUUCCUUUUAUGAAAACAUAAGUAGUAUAAUAUUCAUGUAUAAUGUGCAGCUAUGAAAAUAGACAACUAUAAUCCAGCAUAUUAACUGUGGGUUGAGACUGCUUUUCCCCUAAUAUGAAUAUGGGUUUUGAAUGUCCAGAACAAGCAUAUGACAUUAUGAUAAUACCCUCCAUGUGCCAUCCUGUAUUAGCCAUUUAAUCAUGUAAUAAAAAUGUAACAAGGGGGCUGAUGAGAUGACCUGCCACCAAGCCUGACAGUGUACGUUCAAAUUCCUGAGACUGACAUGGUAGAAGGAAAGAAUUGACUCCUGAAAAUCAUCCUCUGACCUCCCCAUAUGUAUUUAUGUAUGUCUGCCUCCCUCCAUCCAUCUAUCCAUCCUUCCCUCCCUCCCCCUCUCCCAUGAAUAAAUAAAUGUAAUAAAAACUUAAAAGCAGUAACAACCUCCCAAACACCCUCUUCUUUUAUACUUAGUCCAUAUUGAGAAUAGAUUUAUUGUUUCUUCUGUCAGUCUGCAAAAGCAAGUUCAAUUUCAAAAGGGUAGUCAUGUGAAGGUUAUGAAGUUUUCCUGAAGAAGUGGCCUCACACAAAGUUUAAGUAUCUGCUAUAGUUUGGAUCUGGUUUGAGUCUGUCCUUCAGGGCCUCAUGUUGAAAUUUAAUAACUAGUAUGUAGUACUCCUGCAGGUACUCCAUAGUCUUUAAACAGUAAGCUGUUCUUCAGUGAUAGGGUCCUAGGCCAGGAGAGGAGAAGAUAAAGAAAAACAGAAAAUUUGGGUUUGGGAGGUCUUGCACAAGCUAUGUCUUUUGCCAAAAAAAAUCUUAGUAGGAAGCACAGGAUCAUGUAGGGUGGUGGUGGUGCAUACCUUUAAUCCCAGGAUUCAGGAGACAGAGGCAGGUGAGUCUCUGAGCUCAUGGUGAGCCUGGUCUACAGAGUUCCAGGACAGCCUGGACUACACAGAGAAACCCUGUCUCAAAAAGAAAAGAAAAAAAAAACAAGAACAAAAGAAAAAUAAGUAUUGAUCUUAUAUACUAUCUGCAGGGGGAAAUGGCAAGGCCACUGGAAAGUUAAAUUAGGCAAUGUUGGCAAAAGGGUACUUUGGAGACCCAAAUUACUCAGAGUCAGAGAAUCUGAGCUUGCUUUACCCAGAGGGCUGCAUAAGGGGAUGAUUUGACCAUGGGCAUGGUUAUCAAGUAUUUGAAAGGGUCUGCACAUGGCUGUAUCUAGCAAGGGGGAGGUCUUUUGCCUCACCCUUGGGCAUUGUUAUAAAAAGCCCUUUUGAAUAAAGUUCUGGGCCAGUGGGUAUUGACCCAAGUCCUGCCAAAGCUAUUUUGUGUUUCUUUCUUCUCAUCAACUAGGUCUGUCUUUCUACCUGAUAAUUUUUUAUCCCUCUCUCCUUUAGAGUACCCAGGAAAAAGUGGGAGCAUGCCUCCCACAGAGCACAGGAUACUUAAAAUGUAGUAGCCUUAGGACUGAUAACCCACAACUCUUGUGGGGAAAAAGCCAGGUUUCCAGGAACAGGAACUUUAACUCCUUCCAGAUCCAGGUUCCAGCCCCAGACUAGAUGUUGCAGAGUCUGUUCCUUGAAAAGGACACAGAACUGAUGUCCUUUCAUCAGGGUCUCUGAGAAUGUUGGGUCAGUCUAGCUCCAACAGAGGUGGUCUCCUUUAGUCUUAGCUUGAAAAAUCCUGCAAAAGGCAUUGAGUGGCUGAGUUUAGUUGCAUUUUGUUAUUGGCUGGUUAUCUCUGCAAUGUUGUUGGGCUGGGCUAUCAUCAAUCUAUAAUCCCUAUGAAUAAAUUAUGUAUAUCUGUAACUCAUGAGAUAGAAGAGUCUGGCUUUAAUAUCACUUAUAUUUGAUGAUUCCCAGAUCUGACCUGAGCCUGACUUGAUCUCAUGCCCAAAUUCUACUAAUCAUUAGUUUAACAGAAGUAAUGUUUAUUUGAUUAUCUAAAGUCUUAUAUAAAGUUUGUUGUGUAAAGUUGUCUAUUUGGGAAAAAAUCUCUGGAAUAAGUGUGUUUACUGAAAUUCAUUUCAUUCUGACCAAAAUGACAUAGUCCCAGAUGACUGUAAAAUGAUGUUGAAAUAUAAUCUCCCAGUGUAUCCAAGAAAAUAUAACCAAAUAUUGAUGAGUGCAGAGAGUAUUUUUUACUAGAACUGCUGAGUUAUAAAAGUUGUAACAAUGAAUGGGAUUUACUCAUGUUGUCUAUCCAAAAGUCUCAUCAUCUUUUUACAAAAAUUAUUUUAUAUUAUUUAGUGUCUUCCCUGCUUACACACACACACACACACACACACACACACACACACACACACACACACACAUCUGUAUGAACCACCUGUAUGCUUGGUGGUCAGGAGAUCAGAAGAGGAUUUUGAAUCCCCUACAAAUGGAGUUACAGAUGUUUGUGAGCCACCAUGUGGGUGCUGGAAACGGAACCCAGGUCCUGUAUAGGACCAACAAGUGCUCUUAACCACUGAGAUAUCUUUCUAGCCCCUUAUAAUCUUUUUUAUCAGCAUAUAUUAAUUAUACAAUGUGGAGGUUUUAUUAUACAUCUUACAACAUGUAUCAAUAAAUCUCAAUUUUAGUUGUCAUCAUCCUCAGUUAUCUCAAAAUCUAUAUCAAAUCUAUAUGAAUAAGGGUAUAAUCAUAUCAGUUGGCUCUACCUCAAAUCCAUAAAAGAAAAAGAAAUUUUUUGACAUAUUCCAUACUAAAAUAGCUUAAUAAGGUGUGGUAAAUAACAUACUGAAGAGGCUCUAACAGUCCUGAGCAUGGAAAAUAUUACAGACAAGUUUUGUUCUUUUACCCAUUUUUCUCUUCCUUGCUAAAAACUCUUACAUUCCUAAAGGUCUGUUUCCUUAUUUGGCCUGAGACAAAACACCAAGAUCCAACAAUCAAAAUUUAUUAUUUGACUAAUAUGUCCGGUCAGGACUUACUAACUCACCCUAGUACAGACACCCCCACUUUCCCCUUAAAAGCCCACUAAUAUAGAAACAUCUUUUCUUGCUCUUAUUAUCUUGCUUUUCUUGUUCGUUUUGUUUUGUUUUUUGCUUCCUUGCUGCUGCUGCUGCUGCUGCUGCUGCUGCUGUUACCUUUGUAGCCCCUCCAUUGUCCCCCAAAUCUUUUGUGCUGAGAACUUGGUCUUGGAGUGUCUUGUUCUGACCUCCCUUUCAGUGGCUUCAUGACUCAUAAUGACUUGGAUGGGUCUUCAGAACCUCCAACCCAAUUCUUGAACUUCCUGGAGAACUGAUAGCUAUUCACUUCAUCCAACAGUGGCUAAUUGGUGAGUUUACCCUUACUGUCCAUCCUAAACACUCCCCAAAACAGCAAGUGAUGACUGUUGAAUGUCUGGUAUCCAUGCUCUGUCUUGUGGGGCCGGGAGAACGCACUCCACCAUGCAACCAUGGCCUUCGGUGGCCAAGGUGGACUCCCUUGGACAUCUGACUGGCACAUUCCAGUCAGGUUGGUUGCGUGUUUUCCUUUCACUUUUGGUGGCCACUCCACUGGAUUCCAGUGUCCAUUCCUAACCAUUCUAAAAUCCUGUUGACAGGUCCCAGAAUUCUAUUCAGACCCAUUGUGUCCUUCUCUUGGUGACAGAGCUUGGGUGAUGAUUUCUCCCUCACAGAGGCCCUUAUAAGCCAUUUGAAGUCAGAGAAUUGUCCUCAGUUCUCCACUCUCUCAAGACCACCACAAACAAAGGGAAUCUGCUCUCUCCAUUCCAACUGAAAACUCCAACACACACCUAAAACUACUAACACUCAAAAUUAGCCCUCAUUCUCCCUAAAACAAAAACAAAAAACAAACAAACAAAAAGAAAAUGAUAGCCUUUACAAUUUUGUGGGCAUGGGCAGAAGGAAGGAUAUAUAACAUAUAACCUCACAUAUGCCCCACCUCCCAUCUUCCUGACUUCCUGUUACUCUGCCUGCCUACUUCUGAGCUCCAUCUGUCCUACUUGCUUCUAAUUGCCACUCCAAACUUUUCUCAUGAGCUUUCUGUUUUCCUGUUGGCCAUCCAAACCUCUGUCACAGCUCCAAAGAACCACUGUGACUAACAGACAGCCCAAGGCUCUGAGCCCGCUCCCUCAGCCAGUCAUGCUGCCCCUCUGAUGUCCCCAACCUCCUCUGACGUUCCCCCCACAGGUAAGCCAUGGUCUUAAUAGCUCCAGGAGCCCUUGCAGCCAAUAUGAGUGUUCCAAAAGGCCUCCUCUUUUCAGCCCUCCACCAGAGCCAAAGCCCCACCUUCUCUUUCUGUAAGGCUGCCACCAUCUCCAAGGCCAGCCAGUGUCCCUGGUCAUCUGCCCAACCCAGCCACACUCACUCAUGUACCAGUCCCACAUUCACUGUUAGAUCCAUGGUCAGCAGCAGCCUCUGCUCCGCCCCCUUCCUGAAGCCAAAUUCUCCACUUUUGAUUACCAAGUAGUUUCUCUCCCUCUCCCCACAAGCUGCAAUAUACUCCAUGGCCCUGUUACCUUACACCUCCCUCUGCCUUCUCCUUUCUUGUUUGCUUUUUUCUCAGCUUAACCCUUUCCUGUACUGAACUGUCUGCUCUGUCUAUUCCUCCUACAGCUUUCACAAACAUGAGAUACAAAAAUAUAUCUUGCUCUGUUGUACACUUCCAAGACACUCCUAUCUCCCUCCUCCCUUCAGCAGAAUUUCAUCUUUCUGCCCUCUGUCCCCCUCCUUGGGCAGCAUGCACCUAUAAAGUUAAGCCUAAAAUCAGACAUAUUAAUAAAUAAUGUUUCUCAAACUCCUCAGAGAUCUGCUGAAUAUGACGUUUAAAAUGAUUAAGCUUUCCACUAUAGGGACAUAACCAUGCCUAACACAAACCUGUGGUCUCCAAAGAAGACAGAUAGUAUACGAUGGCAACUUCACCUGUAUUGUGGUAACACUAACCAUUAGGAUAAACUAUCCCAUCCCUCAUCUGCCACCAGGACUCUGCUCAACUAAGCACUUUUCAGUUGAUUGCACAACUGUGCCUAGUCAACGUAAGGUCAAUUCUCCCAAGUUCCUCUACAGAAAAAAAAAAUCUCUUAGACCUGGGUCUGAGAGCCAAAGACCCAUUGCUCUGUAUGACAGCUGAAGACCUGCCCAGCCAUCAAGACCAUGGGAGGCAACGGGUCCAUGGCUAAUGAAAAAAGUCUCUAUGAUUUUAAUGAAUACAUAGACCAUUUAGAUUAUGCCUCCUAUUACAAUGACUCUGAUGAUAUUGACUGACCAGCCUGAACCAUAUCACUCACUCCACUCACCCAUCUCCCUCACCCGUAGUAGGAAUACAUAGCCAGUCCUCCAGACCCCUCCAAACUCCACCCUUAACUUACUCCUUCAAAGGCUUUUCUUUUCCCACUCCUCUCCCCACAUUCCUUCAUGUCCCAUUCUCUUACUAAAAAAGAUAUCCUUUCCAAACUGACAUAAAUUUUGCCUUUCCCCCCCAGCAACAGCUCCCAUAACACCCCUGCAUCCCACCUAUUUGUAGCCAUAAGUUUCUCCAGUCCCACCCAGCCUCAUGGUCCCCCAGCUACUUAUAAAAUAAUUACACAGAGGCUUAUAUUAAUUACUAAUUCUAUGGCCUAUUGGCUCAGGCUUCUUGCUGGCUAGCUCUUACAGCUUAACCCAUUUCUAUUAAUCUAUCCAUUGCCACGUGGCUUUGUGGCUUACCUGUACUUUCAUGUCUUGCUUCUCCUGGACAUGACUUGCAGUGUCUGUCCCACUUUCUUUUCUUCUUCUCACUCUCCAGUUGGAACUGCCUAACCUUAUUCUGCCUGACCAUUGCCCAAACAGCUUUAUUUAUCAACCAAUCAGAGCAACACAUAUUCACAGCGUACAGAAGGACAUCCCACAGCACCUCUUCCUUUCCUCAGCCUCUAUUUGUACACUCUCUCACUCUCCAAAAUCUCAAAACCUUCCUUAGUUUUUAGUCAACUGUACUAUAUGAGAUACCACAUCUCUUUGCCUUGCUGCAUAUCAUAAACCACUUUCUAUUACACUAAAAAACCCUUCUGCCUACAUGCUCAAACUCCCAACCCCUGCCCUAAUCUUAACCAGCCACAGAGACUCAGAUCCAUUAUUCAAUUCUUUCUAUAUAAACUUUAUACAUCUCACAUCUUCACUCUACAGUACUCACAUAGUAACAUAUUAACAGUUUUAAAAAAACUAAUAAAAUGUUUUGCUUUGUCCAGGACUUUCACUCCAUUAAUGCUACAGUUUUCUCUCUAUACCCUGUAGUCAUUAACCUUUAGGAUAUUCUCUCCAUUAUCUCUAACAACACUACUCACUUUUCAGUCCUAAAUCUUAAAGAUACUUUCUUCUCAAUACCCCUGGAUGUCCACUCCCAAGACCUUUUUGCCUUCAUAUAGAUGGAUCCUGACACUUAGCUUUCCUGACAACUGACCUAGACUGCCCUCUGCCAAGAAUACAGAGAGACAGCUCUCACUUUUUUAGCCAGGCCUACCUUUCCCCUUUUCCCUCCCACCUGCUUCAGUAUGUAGAGGACCUCCUUUUCGGUCCCUCCCUUCUCUGAUAGCCAAUCUGACACCACCUCAUUUCUCAAUUUCCUCAGCUGCAGGAGAUAUCAGCACUCACCUUCCAAAGCUCAGCUCUCCUUUUCCCAAGUAACCUAUCCUGGAUUCUUUCUCACCCCAACCUCACUUUAGACUGCCUUACUCAUCUCCACUCUUCAUCUCCACCCUUAACAAAAUACCCUUCAAUCUAUUCUCAACACUCUCUCUCUCUCAACUCCUAACUUACAGAGAAUUCCAAUUCCUUCCACAGUCUCAGAUUCUUCCAAAUUUCUGUGAUCAAAAAAAUUCAUCACAUUUCUAUUUUUUAACAUAAUUUCUUUAUUGAUUCUUUGGGAAUUUCACAUCAUGCACCCCAAUUCCACUCAUUUCUCAGUGCCCCCCAUAUCCUCCCUUCACCUGUGCAGCCUCCCCACCAAAAGAAAUUUUUAAAAAACAAAAGCCAAAACAAACAGAAAAAGAAAGAAAAAGAAAAAAAACCCUCUUCACUUCUUCAUCUUCCCCACCUCUCCAACACUUCUUCGUCUUAGUGGCAUUGGGAGCUGAGGUGUGUCACACAGUAUACCCUUUUGUCCAAUCAGCUUUACUUGUAAAUGUUCAUUGCAAUGAAUCAUUGAUCUGGUUCAGGGCUUCUAGUUUCUAAUAUACCAUCAUCAUUGGACCCUUACCAAAACUCCUCUUAGAUAUCUAGCAGUCAUGGAGAAUCAUAGAAUCAAUGAGAUCCUCUGGAUAUCAUUCCACAGGACUAGUCCCUUCACACAAUCCAGCAGGUCAUCAAUGGGUUAGAAGUUAAGGUGGGUCAACCCAAGGCCUUGAAUGUUUACCUGGGUGGUAGCUGACCUGGACAGUUCAGGCCACUGGGACUGCCCACCUCAGGCAAGGGGCAGAGCCAGCUCACUUAUGCCCUGCUGACAGGGCCAGUUCUCCUACAUCUCUGAUGAAGGGUGGAACCAUGUCUCCUGAGUGGGAGGUGGGGGCAGCUCUCCUACUGCAGAGUCCAUUGAGGUACAGGGUCAGCUUCCCCAAGGCCCAAGGAUAGUUCCUAUGGCUCCCUGUGGUAACAUGGCCACAGACAUCAACACAGACCCCAGCUGCAGCAUGACCAUGGUCCUCAGAAGCAGCUCAGGCCAGGAUGACACCAUGGCUCCAGGUGGCCAGACAGGCCACUCAGAUCAGCAUGGCUCCAGCGGCUUCUAUGUGGCCUUUGGUGACAACACAGGCUUCAGAUUUCAAAGCAGACUCCAGCUGUGGUAAGACCACAGACCCAGACAUGGUUCUUGUCAGCAGCCUUGGACUGGAUGUCACCAUUGCCCCAAGUGGAAGUGUGGGCCACUCAAAUCGGCAUGGCGCCAGGAUACCAACAUGACCCCAGGUGGUGACCCAGACCCCAAGCAUCAACAUGACCUUCGAUGGUAACAUGGGCCAUGAACAUCAAUAUAGACCCCAGCUGCAAUGGGGCCAUGGGCCCAGACAUGGUCCUCACCUGAAGCUCUGGCCAGGAUGUCACCAUAGCACAGGAUAGCAGUGCAGGCCACUCAGAUCUGUAUGGCCCUUGCUGCAGCAUGGCCCUUGGACACUGGUGGUUUGAAAGAAAAUGGCCCCCAAAGGGAGUGGCACUAUUAGGAGAUGUGACCUUGUUGCAGUAGGUGUGGCCUUGUGGGAGGAAGUAUGUCACUGUGGGGGUGGGCUUUGAGAUUUCUUUUCUCAAGCUUCACUCAGUAUGACAGUCAGUUGACUUUCUGCUGCAUUUGAUCAAGAUGUAGCCAGUACCAUGUCUGCUUGCAUGCCACCAAUGCUCCCCUUCAUGAUGAUAAUGGACAGAACCUCUGAAACUGUAAGCUACCACCUCAAUUAAAUGUUUUCUUUGUAAGAGUUACCAUAGUCAUAGUGUCUCUUCACAUCAAUUAAAAACCCUAGCUAAGACAGAAGUUAGGACCAGAGGCUGGAGUACUGCUGUGAUAGGCCCAACCAUGCAUGCCUUUGUGUGGAGUAAUAUGGACCUUGGUACUUUGGGUUAGGAAGCAGUAGGAUGCUUUAAGCAGUGCUUAAUAGAGGAUAUUAUUAGGAGCAUGGAAGACAAUGGUGCUGAUAAUGAUUUGAAAUGUUGGGAGCUGGCUCAAGAUGUUUCAGAAAAGUAUUAGUAUGUUGUCUAGAAAUCAUUCUCAUGAUAUUUUGGUAAAGAGAGUGGAUGCCUUUUGCCCUUGUCCAAAGAGUCUUCCUGAGGCUAAAGUAAAGAGUUUUGGAUUAAUUCUAUUGGCAGAAGACAUCUCAAAACAGCCUAGUUUAGACUCUGUUGUAUGGAUAUUAGUGUUAAUUCUAAUGGAGAUUUAUAAUUAAAAGUCACAAGUUGAGAAGAGUAAAUUACAAAAUGUAAAUUUUGAGGAGAAAAAGAGCACCAGGAAGUGGAAUAGAACUAAAUCCUGUGUUCAAGGAGAGAAAUAGAUUAAGAAAUGGAACAAACGGAGUGAUGACCUCUGGGCAAGAUCUCACCCCUCUAAAUUUCUAACUUGUGAAAAGAAAAGCUUAGAACCAGGAGUUAGUGACACACACCUUUAAUCUCAGCACUGGAAAGGCAAAGGUUAGCAGAUCUCUGAGUUUGAGGACAGCCUGGUCUAUAGAGCAAGUUUCAGGACAGCCAAACUUAGGCAGUGAAGGACAGAAGCUAGUGAUGUAAUUGAACAAAGGGGCCAUGUUCCAGCCCCAAUAAGCAGCAGAACUUGGCAACUUCAGCCAUGUGUUUCUGGAUUUAGAGUUAAGGAUAGAAAAAAAAGUUAUGGAAUAAAGCCAUUGAGGCCAGGCAUAUGUCAUGGUUGUUCCUGAGUAGAGACCUAGUUAGAGAGGCCAUUAAGUGAAGCUGUGAAGUUGAAACCUGGAUUGCCAUGGAGAACCCAAGAUGUUAGAGAUGCUAGAGUCAUGGGAUACCAGUCAAGGAGAGCGGCUAACAGGGAAUGGGACAAGCCCAAGAGAAGGAAGUGUGUUGCAGUCAACAAAGUUGAACAGAGUUGGGGACCUGAAGAGCACUUCAACAUCAGAUGAAGAUGCAGUUUGGAGUUUGCCCAGCUGGUUUUCAAGUCUUGUUUUGCUCCAGUAUUUCCUCUCUUUGCUCCCUUCCUUGUGUUUUGGAAUGGUAAUGUAUAUCCUAUAUCAUUAUAUGUUAGAAGUAUGUGAAUUGUGUUUUUAUUUUAAUUUUAUAGGGGAUUACAGUUAAGAGACUGCAUGAGUCUCAGAAGAGAUGUUGGACUUGAAACAAGUUUGGAACCAUUAUGAACUAUGAGGACUUUUGAAGUUGGACUGAAUGCAUUUUUGCAUUAUGAUAUGGCUAUAAGCCUUUGGGGGUCAGGGAGUAGUAUGUGGUGGUUUGAAAAAAAAAUGGCCCCCAAAGGGAGUGGCACUACUAGGAGGUGUGGCCUUGAUAGAGUAGGAGUGCUCUUGUUGGAGGAAGUGUGUCACCGUGAGGGUGGGCUCUGAGGUUUCUUUUCUCAAGCUUCACUCAGAGUGACAGUCAACUUCCUGCUGCCUUCUUUUCAAGCUGUAGCCAGCACCACUUCUGCCUGCAUGCUGCCAUGCUCCCCAUCAUGAUGAUAAUGGACUGAACCUCUGAAACUGUGUCUCAACCUGCUUGGACCUCCUCCUAAUCCCAGAAGACUUCUGCCAAGCAAGCCCAGGCCACACAAGCCAGAAUGGAUAUCCCAUGCUGGAUGUAGCUAAGUCCCUGGACCCUGGGUACACCAUACAGAAUAAAACAGCUUCAGAGACUGCCAGCUUCAGAAAAGAGCAGCAGAGCAUGAGCGGCUGCUCCAGCCAGGUAUCCGCAACCCAUGGAGUGUCAUAGGUUCCCAAGCAGCAGACACCAAGAGCCAGUGAAAGCAGUGUCAGGACAAGCAAGGUUCUGCAAGAUUUCUACCAAGAGGAAGCCAUGGUGAGGAACUGAGUGGAGACACCAUGCCAUGAGAGAGGCGAACAGCAGGCUGCAGCUCUGUGGGAAAGGUGAACAGUGAGCAGUGGUGAGCAGUGGAGACUGUUAAAACCAGACUACUUCCAGGAGCAGAGAAGCAGUGUCAGUGCUGGAUGAGCAGUUGAGACAUGUGGGAACCCAAGAAGAAUUGGAGGUGAGAGCCAUGCUCCAGGCUGAACAGUCUUACUGAAGCUCUGCAGAAACUGCUGAGUGCUCCAGGCUGAACAGUCUUACUGGGGCUCUGUGGAAACUGCUGAAUGCUCCAGGCUGAACAGCCAGACUGGGGUUCUGCAGGAGCUGCUGAAACCCAGCUGAGCUCCCAGCAACAAGAUGUGGCUGGAACCAUGGAGUUGCCCUGGGCCUACAUUCAGCAGUGCAACAGGACAACAUAUGGAAGAUUCCAGGACCCGGGAUGCUGAGCACUGGACCAUCGGCAAAGCAGUACAAAGUGAUCAGCUGCCUCGUUCUUCUGUCCGUCAUACCUUAGGAGUCUUUGACUGCUAUGCCUCCAUCACUAUGGUGGACUGUACCUUCAAACUGUGAUCCAGAGUUUUAUUAUUUUACAUCCUUUCUGACCAGUACCAUUUGCUGAAGAUUCUGUCUUUUCUCUGGAACUACCAAAUGAAAGAUAUCUCCAAGACUGGAUACAAGCUGAUUGGACUCCUGUGCAAAUGUUAGAUUUGAGGAGAUUCAAAGAAGCAAUAAUCUCAUAUGGCAUCCAUUCAUCUUUUGUGAAGCAGAUGUUAAACUUGUGGUCAACUUGUAAUACAAAGACAAUCUUUAUAUGAAGACCAACUCCAGUUUUAUGCUGAAUGGCAGCCUUGAAUGUCUGGGGCAGAAUUGAAGAAGUAGGAAGGAAAAUUAAGUCAUUUACAAAAGUUUAACAGGGCCCAAAAGAAACCUUCACUGAUUUCUUACAAAGACUGAAGGCAGCAGGAAAUAGAAUGAUACCAAAUUCAGAAGCUAGGCAAAUAAUAACUGAAUCUCUGGCUUUUAAAAAUGCUAAUGCAUAAUGCAAAAGGGUAAUUAGGUCAUUAAAGGCAAGAUCAGCACCCUUGGAGGAAUGUAUCUGAGAUAGAAUUAAUGUUGAAUCUCAUGAUCAUGGUGAUGCUUAGAAAGGAGAAGUUAUUCCCAGAGGUUUGAAGAAAAAUAAUAAUGUCAAAUGUUUCAAUUGUGGUAAACAAGGGCACCUAAAAAGUGACUAUAAACAGGGUGUUCCUAGAAAUAUGUUUUCUCAAGGAAUAAUCCCAACAGAAUGACCCUCCCUUCUGGAUGAUGCUGAAAGUAUGGCAAAGGCAGACAUUAAACUAACAAAUGUAGAUCAACAAGGGACAGACAAGGUAAGCCUUUGCAUUUGCUGUCAGGAAACUCCUUGAGGGGCCUCUCUCAGGCCCCCAUGUCAAAUUCGGUUCAGUCCUUUCCUGUCACCAUGGAAGAAACUCCUUCUCAGAGCAAUUAAAGAACUUAAUGUCUAUUGUAAAAAACCAUAUUGCUCAGGGUGAUAGAACAGCUGUAGAAGAAAGAACAAAAAAUUUGGUAGAAACCGUAAAGUGAAAUUUUUGGCAAACUUCUAUAAAUGGACAAAGACCAAAAUUAAAAAUAUGAAUAAAUUACAUUCUCAUUGAAGGUCUUGUAGACACAAGUACAGAUGUAACAAUAAUUGCAUCAGAAUUUUGGCAUCCAAAUUGGCAUCUUCAUGAGGUAAAUGUUCAACUUUUAGGAACUGGCACAUUAUCCCAAGUGAAACAGUGCAUGAGAUGGGUCAAAUGUAUAGGGCUAGAAGGACAGAGAGGAAAAUUGAAGCCAUAUGUGUCUAAUAUAGCUAUGAAUUUAUGGGGACAUGAUUUGUUAAAGCAUUGGAAUGCACAGAUUAACAUUCCUCCAAUCUCAGAAAUGAACCAUAAACUAACAUAUGUUUCUGAGAAAAAUAUUAGGAAGUAUUAUAAAGAACAGUCACUAACCAUCCAGAUUGUACAAGAACAAGACACAACAGCUGCUGAUAUUUCAAAGACACCAAAUUCCCUACCUUUAAAAUGGUUAACAGACAAGCCUACAUGGGUUCAGCAAAGGUUUUUAAUAACAGAGAACUACAGGCCUUAGAACAGCUGGUACAAGAGUAGUUAAAUGCUCAGCAUAUUGAAGAAUCAACCAGCCCUUGGAAUUCUCCUGUAUUUGUUGUUAAAAAUAAAUCUGCUAAACGGAGAAUGGUAACAAAUCUAAAAGCUGUUAACAAGGUAAUUCAGCUAAUGGGCUCUGUACAAUCUGAAAUUCCUUUGCUUUCUCUGUUACCUAAAGGAUGGCCUCUUAUCGUUAUCAGUUUAAAAGAACAUAUCUUCUCAAUACCAUUACAAGAAAAAGACAGAGAAAAAUUUGCCUUCAUGGUGCCUACAUAUAAUAAUUCUCAGCCUGUUAAGAGAGAUCAAUGGCAGGUUCUCCCACAGGGAAUGUUAAAUAGCCCAACCCUGUGCCAAUAUUUUGUACAACAGCUGUUGGAAUUAAUAUGUAAACAAUUUCCUCAAUGUAUAGUGGCGUCCAACGUGGUGGCAAGAGUUUCCACCUAAAACCUGAAAAAAAAGAUUCUAAAAUGGAGCUAAAAACAGCUUCCUAAUUGUCUCUCUCAAAUGAGCGGCAGCUGCUGGUUUGAGCUACUGGCGGGUUGCUGGCAUGCGCGCUUGACCUGCAGUAUGGCGGGAAUGAGGCCUCUACAAAUGGCACAUUAAGCUACAUUGUGGAUUUAGCCUUUGCUAGUACAAAACAAAAAAAGAGGUUUCUGGGCUACACGCUGCUUGGAUAAAAGCAUAGACCCACAAUAGCUCCCAGAGCUGGUGGUAAAGUACCACACCAUGUUGGGAAGCUGAGGUGGGUGGAGCCAGCAGCCACAGCUGCUGCAGCUUAAAGCAAUAGAUUCACAAUAAGACAGAUUCAGAUGUAAUAGUUUAAAAUGUGUGUAAAAUAUAUGUAGGCUUAAAAGAGACAAAAAAAGGUGAUAUAUACAGUAUAGAAACAAAUACAUGGUUUUAAAAAAUAAAGUCUUUAAAGAGACAGUAAAAUUAAUAUAAAAAAUAAGCCACGUAGAGAUGACUAUUACACAGAGAGUCUGGAUUGUGUUGUCUUUGGGAUUCUUAACUACAGAGAGAUAUUUGAUUGUAAAGGAAGCUGAGUUAAACCAGUAUAUAUAUUUUAAAGAUACUUUGACUUCAAAAUUUGGAUGUAAGGAUAUGUUGCUUUGGAAAAGAGUCUCUUUUGUUUCCACAGAAAGCAAGAGGCUAUAGAUUUGUUCCAGAGUAAGAUACAUCAGGUUUGACCAGCCAAGACCCCCUGAAAGGUCUCUGAUGACACCAUGGCCCAGAUGAUCCAACAUCCAGAACCGUUUCAAGACAACUGGCUCAGAUGAUACAGCAUCACGGACUACUCCAUGAUCCUAAAAUUUUCUUUGUUUCCCCAGAAGAUACAGCGCCCCCCUCCAGCAGGAAGUAGUAAGAGAAGCUACGCCCAAAUUCCCAAAUAUACCAAGCUGACUUUGGAGAUGUGUAAAGGUUAAAACCUUCCUUUUUAAGAAAAGAAAAGGGGAAGUGCUGUAAGAUGGUCUGUAUGUCAAAUGUGUUGCUGAUUGGUCAAUGAAUAAAACACUGAUUGGCAGUAGCCAGGCAGGAAGUAUAGGCAGGACUAACACAGAGGAGAAUAGAGAGAACAGGAAGCUGGGUGAGAGAGACACUGCCAGCUGCCAUCAGGACAAGGAAGAUGUAAAGUACCGGUAAGCCACAAGCCACGUGGCAAGGUAUAGAUUAAUAGAAAUGGAUUAAUUUAAGCUGUAAGAACAGUUAGCAAGAAGCCUGCCACGGCCAUACAGUUUGUAACCAAUAUAAGUCUCUGUGUUUACUUGAUCGGGUUUGAGCGGCUUGGGACUGGCGGGUGAGAGAGAUUUGCACUGACCGUGGGCCAGGCAGGAAAACUCCAGCUACAGUAUAGUUUAUUAUUUCAUGGAUGACAUUUUACUAGCUGAUUCAAAUGUAGAUACUUUAGAAAGAAUGUUUGAAGAAGUAAAGCAAAUUUUGCCUUGUUGGAGACUUCAAAUUGCUUCUGAAAAGAUACAAAGAGCAGAUUCUAUUAAUUAUUUAGGAUAUAAAAUAGGUCUUCAAAAAGUUAGAUCCCAAAAGGUGCAAAUUAGGAGAGAUUGAUUAUGGACUCUUAAUGACUUUCAAAGACCAUUAGGAGACAUUUCCAAUCUACGGACCACUAUUGGGGUAAAAAGUGAUGAACUGAGUAAUUUGUUCAAAACCUUAGAGUGUGACAAGGACUUAAGUAGUCCAAGAGAAUUAUCAGCUGAAGCUGAGAGAGAAUUGGCUUUGGUGGAAAAGAAAAUACAGGAUGCACAUGUGAAUCAUUUGGAUCCAAAGAUUGAUUGCAUUUUGGUUGUUUUACCCUCUAAGCAUUCUCCUACAGGAAUUUUAAUAGAAAGGCAAGACAUUAUAUUGGAAUGGAUAUUUCUACCAAAUAAACAGAAUGAAAAAUUAAAAACUUA